AUGGAAGCUGCUCAUCAGGCUGAGCUGCAGCAGAUACAAGUCCAAAAUACCUUGGAUCUUGAAGCCUUGCGUCUGAGCCUGACCUCACUGGAUGUAAACAUGAAAGAGGAUCAAACUGCUGCUCAAACUAUUCAUAAAUUGGAUGUGGACCAUACCAAAGAGAGUCAGGAACAGAAGGAGCAACUUCUGCACCAACAGAAGAUGGAUUCUUUAAGAGAGCAGUGGGAGAUCCGUGUUAGUGAGGAAAGAGCAUCUUUGGAGGAAAAGCAUUCUAAAGAAAUGCAGGUCAAACUUCAAGACAUUUUAUUUGUAGCAUUUUGUCUCUAUUUUACUUUAAAUUUACAGGUUUUGCUUCUGUUUUUAGGCUCUUAA
rnacentral:lncRNA from 1 species